rnacentral:rRNA from 1 species
AGUGAACGCUGGCGGUAGGCCUAACACAUGCAAGUCGAACGGCAGCACAGUAAGAGCUUGCUCUUACGGGUGGCGAGUGGCGGACGGGUGAGGAAUACAUCGGAAUCUACUUUUUCGUGGGGGAUAACGUAGGGAAACUUACGCUAAUACCGCAUACGACCUACGGGUGAAGGCAGGGGAUCUUCGGACCUUGCGCGAUUGAAUGAGCCGAUGUCGGAUUAGCUAGUUGGCGGGGUAAAGGCCCACCAAGGCGACGAUCCGUAGCUGGUCUGAGAGGAUGAUCAGCCACACUGGAACUGAGACACGGCCCAGACUCCUACGGGAGGCAGCAGUGGGGAAUAUUGGACAAUGGGCGCAAGCCUGAUCCAGCCAUACCGCGUGGGUGAAGAAGGCCUUCGGGUUGUAAAGCCCUUUUGUUGGGAAAGAAAAGCAGCAGGUUAAUACCCCGCUGUUCUGACGGUACCCAAAGAAUAAGCACCGGCUAACUUCGUG